rnacentral:rRNA from 1 species
UGACUGCCCUAUGGGUUGUAAACUUCUUUUAUAAGGGAAUAAAGUUCGCCACGUGUGGUGUUUUGUAUGUACCUUAUGAAUAAGCAUCGGCUAAUUCCGUGCCAGCAGCCGCGGUAAUACGGAAGAUGCGAGCGUUAUCCGGAUUUAUUGGGUUUAAAGGGAGCGUAGGCGGGCUUUUAAGUCAGCGGUCAAAUGCCACGGCUCAACCGUGGCCAGCCGUUGAAACUGUAAGCCUUGAGUCUGCACAGGGCACAUGGAAUUCGUGGUGUAGCGGUGAAAUGCUUAGAUAUCACGAAGAACUCCGAUCGCGAAGGCAUUGUGCCGGGGCAGCACUGACGCUGAGGCUCGAAAGUGUGGGUAUCAAACAGGAUUAGAUACCCUGGUAGUCCGCACGGUAAACGAUGAAUGCUCGCUAUGGGCGAUAUAUUGUCCGUGGCCAAGCGAAAGCGUUAAGCAUUCCACCUGGGGAGUACGCCGGCAACGGUGAAACUCAAAGGAAUUGACGGGGGCCCGCACAAGCGGAGGAACAUGUGGGUUAAUUCGAUGAUACGCGAGGAACCUUACCCGGGCUUGAAUUGCAGGUGCAUGAGUCAGAGACGGCUCUUUCCUUCGGGACUCCUGUGAAGGUGCUGCAUGGUUGUCGUCAGCUCGUGCCGUGAGGUGUCGGCUUAAGUGCCAUAACGAGCGCAACCCUUCUCCCCAGUUGCCAUCGGGUAAUGCCGGGCCCUCUGGGGACACUGCCAUCGUAAGAUGCGAGGAAGGUGGGGAUGACGUCAAAUCAGCAC